AAAGCCCUGUGGGGUAGAACGAACUGGCAUCGGGCUAAUAUCCCGGUGUCUUGACGGUACUGCCUUAGCAAGCAUCGGCUAACUCUGUGCCAGCAGCCGCGGUAAGACAGAGGAUGCGAACGUUGCUCGGAUUUACUGGGCGUAAAGCGCGUGUAGGCGGUCUCGUUAGUCGGGUGUGAAAGCCCCGGGCUCAACCCGGGAAGUGCACCCGAUACUGCGAGACUGGGGUACUGAAGAGGAGAGCGGAAUUCCCGGUGUAGAGGUGAAAUUCGUAGAUAUCGGGAGGAACACCAGUGGCGAAGGCGGCUCUCUGGGCAGAUACCGACGCUGAGACGCGAAAGCGUGGGGAGCAAACAGGAUUAGAUACCCUGGUAGUCCACGCUGUAAACGAUGACGACUGGGUGUUGCAGGUAUUGACCCCUGCGGUGCCGAAGCCAACGCGUUAAGUCGUCCGCCUGGGAAGUACGGCCGCAAGGCUAAAACUCAAAGGAAUUGACGGG
rnacentral:rRNA from 1 species